GAUGAACGCUGGCGGCGUGCCUAAUACGUGCAAGUCGAGCGAACAGACGAGGAGCUUGCUCCUCUGACGUUAGCGGCGGACGGGUGAGUAACACGUGGAUAACCUACCUAUAAGACUGGGAUAACUUCGGGAAACCGGAGCUAAUACCGGAUAAUAUAUUGAACCGCAUGGUUCAAUAGUGAAAGACGGUUUUGCUGUCACUUAUAGAUGGAUCCGCGCCGCACUAGCUAGUUGGUAAGGUAACGGCUUACCAAGGCAACGAUGCGUAGCCGACCUGAGAGGGUGAUCGGCCACACUGGAACUGAGACACGGUCCAGACUCCUACGGGAGGCAGCAGUAGGGAAUCUUCCGCAAUGGGCGAAAGCCUGACGGAGCAACGCCGCGUGAGUGAUGAAGGUCUUCGGAUCGUAAAACUCUGUUAUUAGGGAAGAACAAAUGUGUAAGUAACUAUGCACGUCUUGACGGUACCUAAUCAGAAAGCCACGGCUAACUACGUG
rnacentral:rRNA from 1 species